GAUGAACGCUGGCGGCGUGCUUAACACAUGCCAGUCGAACGGAAAGGCCCAAGCUUGCUUGGGUACUCGAGUGGCGAACGGGUGAGUAACACGUGGGUGAUCUGCCCUGCACUUCGGGAUAAGCCUGGGAAACUGGGUCUAAUACCGGAUAGGACCACAUUUUGGAUGGUGUGGUGGAAAGUUUUUCGGUGUGGGAUGAGCUCGCGGCCUAUCAGCUUGUUGGUGGGGUAAUGGCCUACCAAGGCGUCGACGGGUAGCCGGCCUGAGAGGGUGUACGGCCACAUUGGGACUGAGAUACGGCCCAGACUCCUACGGGAGGCAGCAGCGGGGAAUAUUGCACAAUGGGCGCAAGCCUGAUGCAGCGACGCCGCGUGGGGGAUGACGGCCUUCGGGUUGUAAACUCCUUUCGCUAGGGACGAAGCGUUAUGUGACGGUACCUGGAGAAGAAGCACCGGCUAACUACGUG
rnacentral:rRNA from 1 species